CAACUACUCCCUCUAUCCCAAAUUUCUUGUCUUAGAUUUGUCUAGAUACAGAUGUAUCUAAUACUAAAAUGUGACUUGAUACAUCCGUCUCUAGACAAAUCUAAGACAAGAAUUUUGGGACGGAGGGAGUACUUU
rnacentral:pre_miRNA from 1 species